rnacentral:misc_RNA from 1 species
GCUCCGUAGGUGAACCUGCGGAGGGAUCAUUACAGAGUUCGUGCCCUCACGGGUAGAUCUCCCACCCACUGUCAUCACUACGAUUGUUGCUUUGGCGGGCCGCGGGCCCUGCCCGCCGCCGGCCCCGCCGGCGCGCGCCCGCCAGAGGCCCCUAGACUCCAGAUAUCGGUAUCGUCUGAGUACUAUAUAAUAGUUAAAACUUCCAACAACGGAUCUCUUGGUUCUG